UGGCUCAGUGAGGCCUCCAUACACUCUAAAAACUCCUGGGUUAUUUCUUUAACCCAUUUUCUGGGUUAUUUGUGUUGGGUUAAAAUUAUGGGUUAUUUUUUCAGCGAGUAACCAUUUUCUGGGUUAUAGGGCUAAUAUUUUGACCCAAUUCCUGGGUUGUUUAGGUUUCUGGGUUAUUUUUCAAAGAGUAACCCAUGUUCUGGGUUAACGCCCCUUCCCCCCGCCCCCUGCUGUUGUUCUGGAAUUUUCUCACAACAGUCGUUUGAAACAACCGUCACUUGAACUUGAACGCACUCGAUCCGUUUUGGUUUGGGCUUCUUCGGUGCAACUUCGUCGCGUAUUCAAGGUACAGUGCAGCUAGUGGCGACUUCAUGCCGCGUUAAGGGGGUCGAACACCGGACGAGAAGCGCCGCGCCGCGUCUAGGACAACUCGAGGUCUUUUUAAAUGGACAGCUUUGUCGCUGAUAAGCUAACUGAGUGGCGGAUGUCUGAGCUGAUUUUAGAGGUGAAGACAGAGAUGAGGAGGCAUUUCUUCUCUUAGAUGAGGACACUAUCAAAACUCUUGUCCCUCAAGUUCAAUCCAGUUAUUGAAUGUUGUCAAAUGUUUCAGAGAGAAUGAGUUGUUUUUCUAUUUUUUCUAAUGUCUAAUGUUAUUACAGUGUGACCUAAGAUAAAUAGGUCUAAGUGUGUAGAGUUUAUGUAAAGUUUAAUUUAAUUUAAUGCAAUAAAAAAUGUAAAAGUG